UUUAUUGUAUAGGAAAUAUUAUCUGAAAAAACUAAUAAAAAAAUAUAUAUAUAUCUAUAUUUACUGUUUCAUUUACUGCAUGCAGAAAUACAAUAUCUGAUAUAAAAUAUUAUGAAAAUAUUUGUACGUAUCAACUGUCUUUAUCUAAUCGGUUAUUUUCCCAGUAUUAAAACUGAUGAAACGUCUCGCCAAUCAUUAUCAAUGCGACCGAAAUCAUAUAAUCUAACGUAUUUCGAUUCAUCCGUCAUUUCUUGUUAGAAACGCGAACCUUUCGGAAGAAAUGGCUUCCAAUAGAUUUCCAGAAAGCAGUCGUCGUCGUACGGACGAUGAAAAUUUUCGGGAAAUAAAAUCAUCAAAACAAAUCAUUUUAGGCUGGGACAGUUUUAAUUCGAUAACAUUUUUGAUCCUGAUCGUACUUUUUACCGUUUGGUGUUUAGCAUUUUUCAUAAAUUAUGUGCCAAAAGAGAAGAAUUCUAGUGGUAGUGGACACAAUAAUCAUUCAGUGCAUGGACAUUAAAAGAUGGAAGAUGGACGGAAGAAGAAAGAUAAUUCGAUAAAAAAAAAAAAAAAAAAAAAAAAAAAAAAAAAAAAAGGAUAAGUUCCAUAAAUUUGUAGCAUAUUAUCGUGAUUGAACUUUAUUUAACAUUCAACUUAUAUAUUAAUAACAUCCUUAUUAAUGAAAAUGAAAAGAACUUGUGAUCUAUAACAAAACGUUGAUAUUGUUAUUAAUCGUUCUAUAGAAGUAAAUAAAAAGGUGCUGUAUGUAAUGAAUUAGGCUGUUCCUCGAUAUAGAAGCGAAAUGUUUCAUCUUUGCAUACAUUUCAACAAUACGAUCGUUCUAUAUCGACGUACGAAGAGAACUCUUGUUAUCGGUUAAAUCUGGAACAACGUUGUGAAUUUCAAGGAGUCGAGAGAUUGGAAGGCAUGCUCGUUAGCCUCGAUAACGAGACGGUUUAAUCAUCUGUUCAAUGAAAGAGAGAGAGAAACUAUUCCUACCGCAAAGCAAUUCGUCCUAUUAAAGAAUCACUGUCGAAGAAGGAAAGCAACCGAACGAAUUUAUAUCCAAAACAAGGAAAAAGUACUUUACAAUGAGAAAUAAUUAUACACGACUGGUGAGGAUUGUCCAGGAAUCUUUUUUUCAACGGCCGACAGCGAGGUAGGACAAAGAGCGCAAAAGUAGGAGACCGACAGAAAGAGUCAUUAUGCUCGACGUGCCUACGAGGGAAAAGAAUCUCGCGUAAUUUUGCGUCGGAGGAUUUGCGGGUGAAAGGAUUGGUAUAGUUUGGAACGAAGGAAAAAAAAAUAAAUCCACCUCGUUGUCUGCGAUUCAACAAGAGAAAGAAAAAAAAGAAAGGAAGGAAGAAAAAGAGAGAGAGAGAGAGAGAGAGAGAGAGAGAAAGAGAAAGGAAGCCAAUGAAACGUUCUUAAAAGAUGGCCUUAUUUAUGAAAGCAAGUAAAAUCUAGCCUAUUCGAAUUCAUUGAAUUUUAUAUUAUAUCUAUUUGGUUCUUGCUAUCUCAUCAAAUCAUUGGAAAUAUUUAAAGGGAACGUUCCUCUCAAAUGUUUUACGUUGUCGCCAUGCUUCCUGAAAAAUGCAUGACGUUGUAUGCUCACAAAAUUGGAAGGAAAAGAACAAUACGUGCAUUGCACUUUCGUUCUCUUUUUCUUUCUAUUUCUCUCUCUCUCUCUUUCUCCCUUUCUUCUUCUCUCAUAUGUGACUUUACAGCGUUCUUUCGUCCCCGAAGAGAAGAUUGUUGCGCAAACGUCAGAGAGAAAACACACAACGUGUACAUAGACACAAUUUUUAAUACGCCUCUUGCGAAACUAGCUCGCUCGUAGAAUUUUAUCAGCCGCCUUGGAUCUUCCUCUUCGCGAUUACUGAAACCCAAGUAUUGCUUUUGGGAAUUACUGAUUCUCAGAGGGAUUUCUUUCCUUCUCUCCUUCUUUCUCUCUCUCUUUCAAAGAGAAAAUGAGAACGAAAGAGAGAGAGAGAGAGAGAGAGAGAAGGCAAGAGAGACAUCGUAGAGGGAUAUUCCCGGAAAGCCGGAACGAUGGAAAAAGGAUUUCCACGUUUGUGCUUGCGAUCUUUCAGACUGUCGUAAUAAGAAAUGUCUCUGUCAUCGGUCGAUUCUUUCGAUGACAUUUACAGUCUUUGUAAAAUGAUCUUACUUUUUAUUUUUAAACUGUAAAGAUAGAAAGACAGGAAGAGAGAGAGAGAGAGAGAGAGAGAGAGAGAGAAACUUCUUGAACGUUUAAAAGUAUCUUCGAGAGUCUUUUCUGUGGAAAAAAAAAAGUUGCUUCGAAAAGAAAAAAGAUGAAAGAAAAAAUAUAUUUGUAAUUUAUUUACAUGACAAACGUAUUUCUGGAAGAAAAUUAGUCUUUAUUUUUGUAUAUUAUAAUUGUAACAAAAAUAAACGAAAGUCACUGUAAUAUGUAAAGAUCGUUUCAAAGAUGGAACAUAAAUUUAAGAAAGAUAUGUGAAGACAGAUACAGUUAACAGUGGUAAUUCGUAUUCGAGAAUUUAUUUCCUCUCGAGGAAGGCGGUCAAUGACGACAACGACUACGACGAGGAUGAUUACGACAGGAAAACGCCGAGGAGGAUUAUAGAAAGGAUAUGUACUUUCAAGGAAGGUAGAAUCGUCGACCGUUAAUUCACGUUAUCGGAAGAACGUUGAUUCGCUGCUCGUGUCGUCGUUAUGUCCUACAUAUUGUAUGUAUGUACGAGCCGAGUUCAUGGGAGACAAAGAUAUGGCUCGUUCUGUGAAACGCUUCGGUCAAUCGAUUGUCCUUAAACGUUAUAUCCUCCUUUUACAUCGUCCAGGAGUUAAUGGUACAUACAUAUUGGCAUAUUUCGAGGAUCGAGUAUUUUCAAAUUAAAAGGAUAAAAUUUUUUAAUUUGUAUUUGAAUGUAUAUUCUUCUAUAAGACAGAUUUAAGAGAUAAAAAGAUAAAGAGAGGAAAAAAAGAAAGAUAAUCAACUUUAACAAUAUCAUUAUUAUAUAUUCUUAAAAAGGAUAAGUUACAUAUAGUAAGUGUUGGGUUAUAAUUGUCUUGAAAUCAAUGUUAAAGCGCGAAAAAUCUCAUUAUUUUUUCCCCUAAGCUCGCUCGCUCGUUCCUUUUCUAUAUUAUCCACCUCUUUCCUCUCUUUGUCCUAUCGCUCAAUCGCCUUAGGCCACCUUUGUGCAUCGCAAAGUGCUUUGUACGCGAUAAUCCAUGAAGAUUGCGGCUCAAUGGCUUGUGGAAUUUCUCUCUCUCUCUCUCUCUCUCUCUCUCUCUCUCUCUCUCUCUCUCCUUUUUUUUGCUUUUUCCCCUCUGCCAGUUGCACCCUUCGAUCGUGGAUCUUUUUUAUUUCUCUCUCUCUCUCUCUCUCUCUCUCUUCUCUCUCUCUCUCUCUCUCUCUCUCUCUCUCUCUCUCAUCCAUAUAUAGGUUAGUUAUAGUUUGCAUGUUAUCCUUGAAAAAGGGCCACUCAAAUGAAGGUCGUUUUCAUCAUACGGGUAAAGUUUCCAACCUUUCGCAUUCUCGUGACUUUCGAUGUUACGCUUGAAUGACAGGCGUUUACCAAUGCAAUUGGCAUUCAUCAAAACGAAGCGUGCAUUUUCGUUGGCGCAUGGGUCCAUGGCGCAUAGGGUGAUCGAUCUUCUCGCGAAACGCUUUCCCUCAUACUUUCGAGUGAUUGUUCCUUUUCGAUCAACGUUACCACCGUUUGUUCCUGAAUCUCAUGAUGUUUUAUUCAUGUACGGUGUAAAUAAUUCUCGUUUAACCCUCUGCAAGUUAAAAGUUGAUAAGACCUUUCGUUGAAUUAAACGAAAUGAAAAGGACGAAAUAAUCUUUUAGUCCAUUUUUAUUCCCAUUUCCUAUAUUUAUUUCUUAUCAAAUAUUCCUAUGAGAUAGAAUGAUACUUCACGUUGAUAAAAGCUUUGAGUUGUUAUCUCGCAAAAGCUUCUUUUUCAUGAGUACAAUUAUGUCAGAUGAAAACAGACUAAAUUUUAGAAAAAUGAUCGCGUUAACUUUCGCAUCAAUGUAGAAAUAAGAAAUAGACAUAUAUGUAUAUGGUAUAAAUGCAUUAUGUUGGAACGUGUCGUGGAAUCGAAUAAUCAAGGGAACGGUCGUCUAUACUCUGACAUUCCUGAAACACUAGAUACAUAUGAGAGAGUAAGGGUAGGUCGAUACCAAGCACUGGGAUACUGUGAUGCAUGCUGUAAAGCAACUUUAUAUACGACGCUCGUGUUAUUCGAUAUAUUCAUUGAACAGUAAUUAAAAGCUCUCUACCAUGAAACUUAAUGAAAUCGACAGAGUAAAGAUAAUUAAAAUUAUAUCGAUUAACGAACUCGAUUUAUAAUUCAGAAGCCGUUCCCAAUGAUCGAAACAAAGAUCUCGAAUUUUUGAAUGAAAUUAUGCGAUUUUAAAAAAUCGAUAGAGAGAUCUGCAAGAUCUCUUAAAAUUUUUUUAAGUUUAAUAAUUUUUUCGUUUUACAAUGAGAGCAACUGAUUGAUAAAUUUAUACUUUUAUCUUUUUUCUUUUGUUCGAUUUUACAUCGAACUAUCGAUCCCAGAUAGCAAGACAGACGGCGAAGAAAUAGAGGCAAUGUCUAGUCUCGUUUAAAGAGGGUUCUCGUAUUUCGACAAAUCGCUCUCAUCCUUCGUUUUAUUCGAACGACAUUCGGUGUAGUCGGUGCGUAUAGGUAAGAGAGUGUUUAAGCGUAUGCGACCGGUCGAUACCGGCGUUGGCUGCUGGUAAGCCGUGUAUCAUGCUUUUACGCCACCCUUCCUCUUCGAAGCACCCACCUAAUAAUACGCUAGACAAGUAGCUCCUACCCUGUUGCUUGGAUGAACCGAUCUUUCUACAUAGUACUACGUCGACGUAAUCGGACAGCUAACGAGACACUCGACUAAUCGCAUAAGACGUCAUCCUCAAGCUAACUUUUAUUCUCACAUUCCUUUAUUUUCUGUUCGAACAUCGAUUUUUUUUUUUUUUUUCAAUUGCUGAUAUCUAGCAAAGUAGCUAUCGUAUGAAAAUACCUUUGUAUUAUUUCCCCUCUAUUCUUAUUGUCAAAAAGAAAGAAAAAAUCGUGUAUUCGUCAGUACUAUAUUUAAAUUUGUAUCAGUGCUAAUACGUAUAUACAUUUCUUUUUCUUUUUUUUUUUUUUUUUACACGAAACCCGUUAGGACUUUUUUCGGCUUUAUUUGCGAAUGGAAUCGACAGGACGACAUGAAAUUCAUUUAAUCUUCGAAUUUCUGUCCAUCGGUUUUUGUGGAGAAAGCACCGGCUAUGUUGUGCCGAAUACCCGCAAAUAGUUAUUACGUAAGAAGGAAAAAUAAAAUGGACGUAGUAACUCUCCAUUUGAAAUGGAAAACAUUUCUUUUUUAUUGUUUUACGAUCUACGAUAAUAAAUAGUUAUGACGGAACCAUUUCAUUUCUUUUAUUCUAAAGUAAAAUCAAACAAUAAUAUCAUCAUUUUGUCAUCUAAUUGUAUGUAAGUUACAAGCUU